CCCCAGUAAACGGCGGCCGUAACUAUAACGGUCCUAAGGUAGCGAAAUUCCUUGUCGGGUAAGUUCCGACCCGCACGAAAGGCGUAACGAUUUGGGCACUGUCUCAACGAGAGACUCGGUGAAAUCAUAGUACCGGUGAAGAUGCCGGUUACCCGCGACAGGACGGAAAGACCCCGUGGAGCUUUACUGUAGCCUGAUAUUGAAAUUCGGUACAGUUUGUACAGGAUAGGUAGGAGCCUUAGAAGCGUGAGCGCUAGCUUACGUGGAGGCAUUGGUGGGAUACUACCCUAAUUGUAUUGGAUUUCUAACCCGCAGCACUUAUCGUGCUGGGAGACAGUGUCAGGCGGGCAGUUUGACUGGGGCGGUCGCCUCCUAAAGAGUAACGGAGGCGCUCAAAGGUUCCCUCAGAAUGGUUGGAAAUCAUUCAUAGAGUGUAA
rnacentral:rRNA from 1 species